UACACUGACUCGACUCGUCCCCCUACUGCGCCGUUUCUUUAUCGCGCACGUACCGCGGAACGGAACGGAAUGAAGUGGAACGGAGAAGCAGCAGUCGAUAAAAAGAUCCAUACGCUGGGCGCCAUUCAGUAUUUAUUUUAAGAGCUACGGAUGCACUUGUAGAAUCUGUACUUGAAUGGAUUGUUGAGAACUAAUUACUAAAGGUAUUAUUAGCUAGUUAUUUAUUAUAAUGGGAACAAUAGUCGAACAAGAAAAUAUUCUUCUAGUUUGCAAAGCAAAUAUUAGUGACGUCUGUUCCAAGGAGGUAUGGAAGGAUGUCUAAUCUAGAGUAUCUCCACCAUCAGUACCCAAUGAAUCUGGCAAAUGGUGUGAAGCAAGGAAGACGUCUGGUAGUUCCAUUGGAAGGGUAACUUAAUGGACUUCUGAUGAUAUACUUGAAAACUUCAGACACAAGGCUGACGUGUGCACAGAGAGUGGAUGAGAGUAUCGGCCCCAAAACCCAUAGAGUGAAACCGAGCUUCAGACCAAGUUCAACAACCGGUACAUAAUACAGGUGCCCUCAAUACACAGUGUCCCACUGGCAUUCGAAAUAUUUCAUCUGCAGGACUCUAUCAACUAAAAUCGAAUUAAUACGUGCUGAACGCAGUGUGCACCGAUGGAAUUAUCUCUAAAUUCAGUACUUGAAACAAAUGAUUGUCAUCUAUCUUUCAUCAAUUCAUCUUUUUGCAUUGUCGAAAUUCAUGGUAUGGCCUGAGGAGUAAUUUUAACGGACGUAUACAACACAUCACAGAGAGCGCACACGUCAAUAUACAAAAUCACGUGGAUGCGAUGAAAGGGACCCGAAACGCACAAAGAGAUAGGCGUAUAUCGGAAACAUAUUCACUCGUCGUGAACACUGACCAGAACGUGGUGAUCAUUGAUGAUUAACACUGGACUGAUUGAGGAAAGAAUUUUUAAGAGUUGCAUUAUAAUCCGUACUCACCAACAUGAAAACCGAUGAGAUGGCGUAACUCAGGAUCAACUCCGAGUCGUGCUCGUCUGGUAGUUUCCUCAAAUCCCAGCUGCUUCAGAAAUUCAUCCUGUAACUCCAGGGGUCGUUCAUCUGGCGACAUUCGUCGUCCCGCUUCCCCCCCGUACUGGAAAAAGCAUAAUUAAUCGUGAGUGCAGGUACAGAGAUUCGUCUGUAGAGUAAACACUUGAACAACCAGACCGGUGGGAGUGCAUUACGCAACAAGUGCGAUGAAGAUUUUCGGUACUAGUUCAAUCAAUAUUACGUGACAGUUCCGUAAUUCCCCGAUGACAACAAAGGGCAGGGAAAAAUUACAAAGGAACUGAAGUGAUUCACCGAACGAGUUGGAAUUCGAUAAAGGCCAAUAAUAAAGGC